rnacentral:lncRNA from 1 species
ACUAACAUUUCAGGUCGGACAUAGCCAUCCAACUCUGUUGCAGAGCAACGCCCCUCAAGUAUCAGAGCAACCUGGAGAUAAUAGGAAAUAAUCAAAUAUCCAGGCAAGGUGGAUAAGCUCGGACGCAGUAUGUCAUCCAGCUCGAAGACAAGGUGAACUGAGAUACCCAGGUUGGCAUGGUCGCCCUUAGUCCAUUUGACUGUCGAAAGAACGACUGAUCAAACACCGCUAAUAAGACCGUCAAUGGUUUCGCUGGUCGGAGUAGCAGAACUGAAAGGAGCUCGACAUAUCCAACGACCCCAACAUUAGAUUACUCGUUGAGGUCGGAUCUAUGCUCGAGCUUAGAUAUGAUCGAGGACGGAGCCGUGUCUGAGAUCGGCCUCGCAUUUUGGGUCGGAUAAAAAUG